UACGUAGGGUGCGAGCGUUGUCCGGAAUUAUUGGGCGUAAAGAGCUCGUAGGCGGUGUGUCGCGUCGGCCGUGAAACCUGCAGCUUAACUGUGGGCUUGCGGUCGAUACGGGCAUCACUGGAGUUCGGCAGGGGAGACUGGAAUUCCUGGUGUAGCGGUGAAAUGCGCAGAUAUCAGGAGGAACACCGGUGGCGAAGGCGGGUCUCUGGGCCGAUACUGACGCUGAGGAGCGAAAGCGUGGGGAGCGAACAGG
rnacentral:rRNA from 1 species